rnacentral:snRNA from 1 species
CACUCAUGUUCUCUUCAGAUCGUAUAAAUCUUUCGCCUUUUACUAAAGAUUUCCGUGGGGAGGAACAUCAUGAGUUUUACCUCAUUUUUUGUUGCCCUGCCUGACGGUGGGGCU